GACGAGGGAUCCUAGCGUUGUUCGGAAUCAUUGGGCGUAAAGCGGGUGCAGGUGGCUUUGUAAGUCAGGUGUGAAAUCCCAGGGCUCAACCCUGGAAGUGCAUUUGAUACUGCGAAGCUUGAGUGUGGGAGAGGUUACUAGAAUUCCUGGUGUAGUGGUGAAAUACGUAGAUAUCAGGAGGAAUACCGGAGGCGAAGGCGGGUAACUGGCCCAACACUGACACUGAAACCCGAAAGCGUGGGGAUCAAAC
rnacentral:rRNA from 1 species